AGAACGAACGCUGGCGGCAUGCCUAAUACAUGCAAGUCGAACGAACUCUUCGGAGUUAGUGGCGCACGGGUGCGUAACGCGUGGGAAUCUGCCCCUUGGUUCGGAAUAACAGUUGGAAACGACUGCUAAUACCGGAUGAUGACGAAAGUCCAAAGAUUUAUCGCCAAGGGAUGAGCCCGCGUAGGAUUAGCUAGUUGGUGAGGUAAAGGCUCACCAAGGCAACGAUCCUUAGCUGGUCUGAGAGGAUGAUCAGCCACACGUGGGACUGAGACCACGGCCCAGACCUCCGUACGGGGAGCAGCGAGGUAGGGAAUAGUUAGGAACAAGUGGGACGAAAGCC
rnacentral:rRNA from 1 species